CACAUAGUUAGCCGGAGCUUCCUCCUUAGGUACUGUCUUUUAUCUUCCCUAACGACAAUAGUUUACAAUCCGAAAACCUUCUUCCUAUACGCGGCGUCACUGCGUCAGAGUUUCCUCCAUUGCGCAAUAUUCCCGACUGCUGCCUCCCGUAGGAGUCUGGGCCGUAUCUCAGUCCCAAUGUGGCCGUUCAACCUCUCAGUCCGGCUACUGAUCGUCGCCUUGGUAGGCCGUUACCCCACCAACUAGCUAAUCAGACGCAAGCCCAUCUAUUAGUGGAUUGCUCCUUUCCUCACUGUAUCAUGUGAUACUGUGAGCAUAUGCGGUAUUAGCAAUGAUUUCUCACUGUUAUUCCCCUCUAAUAGGCAGGUUGCUUACGUGUUACUCACCAGUCCGCCACUAACCGCUCCCAAUGUAAACAAAGGGUUAAGUUCGUUCGACUUGCAUGUCUUAUGUGCGCCGCCAGCGUUUAUCCUGAGCCAGGAUCAAACUCU
rnacentral:rRNA from 1 species